CUUUAGCUGGGAAUAACCCAUCGAAAGGUGGGCUAAUACCGAAUAAUACUGUUCUUACUACGGUUGGACAGUCAAAGAUAGCCUCUGCUUGCAAGCUUUCACUAAAGGAUGAGUCCGCGUACCAUUAGCUAGUUGGUAGGGUAAUGGCCUACCAAGGAUACGAUGGUUAGCUGGUCUGAGAGGAUGAUCAGCCACACUGGAACUGAGAUACGGUCCAGACUCCUACGGGAGGCAGCAGAGAGAAUCUUGUGCAAUGGGGGAAACCCUGACGCAGCACGCCGCGUGAGUGAGGAAGGUUUUCGAAUCGUAAAGCUCUGUCAGGUGGAAAGAAAUGUAUGAAUGUUAACAGCGUUCAUACUUGACGGUACCACCAGAGGAAGCACCGGCUAACUCCGUGCCAGCAGCCGCGGUAAUACGGGGGGUGCAAGCGUUGUUCGGAAUUAUUGGGCGUAAAGAGCGUGUAGGCGGCUGGAUAAGUCAGAUGUGAAAGCCCUGGGCUUAACCCAGGAAGUGCAUUUGAAACUGUCUGGCUAGAGCAAGGAAGAGGAAAGCGGAAUUCCUGGUGUAGAGGUGAAAUUCGUAGAU
rnacentral:rRNA from 1 species